rnacentral:antisense_RNA from 1 species
GAUAGCCAUAAAUAGUUGCUAAAUCAAGAGUUGGAUGUUCGAUGAUACGCACCGAUUGAGUAGUGGCAUCGUAUAAACCACCCCAAUACAUUGCUUUUCCUGCUAAUAAUAAAGCACCAGCACCUAAAAAGAGCAAAUGAUGACCAAGUAUUAAACCUAGUUUAGCAGGAUCAUCCCA